ensembl:processed_transcript
ACCAUUUUAAGGAAUGUAUACAAUAACAAUGGUCCUAAUGUAGUUCCUGUUUUACAUUUUUAAUUUCCAUAGCUUCCGAGAAUCCAAAAAGGUCCACAUAUUAAUAAAUAACAUUAAUUGAGCUGUUUUAACGUGAAAAUAUGAUUGAAUUGCCACUUGUUACAGUUAUGAUAUAUAUGAUAACAUCAGGAAUUGUUUAAGGGCCAAUGGCAUGACCAUGUUGCAAUAGUCUAUAUAUGUAAU